GGGUCGAUGGCGUAGCUGGUUAUCGCAUCUGUCUAACAUCCUGAUACGGAGUAUAUCUAUGUUCACAGAAGGUCCUCAGUUCGAACCUGGGUCGACUCA